AUGUCACCUGGUGGAACCUCUGAGGUGCAUUCUCAGAUGUACUAAGUGGCACUGAACACAGACAGAUCUUCCCAUGCAGCCGUGGCACUGCUGGGUGCUGAUUGCCAAGAAACGGCUGCCCUUCUAUCAACUUACAGCAAUCUCAGAAGCAUCACCUGGAUUGGGAGAAGGUGAGAAGUGUAAGAGAGAAAAACCACCCAGAAGGACUCCUAAACUCCUAUUGAAUAUGGGAACAUGGAAUGUUAUUAUAGAGCUUUGCCAUGCCUGGAGUUGCUCAUCCCAGAAGAAACUGUGGCUGUGAGGCUUUGAUGUCCUACUGCAAGCAUCAUGGAAGGAGAGGUGACACAGAACUGAAGUCACACAAAGAUAUGAAGGACUGACUCUAGUUGGUCUCCUGUGAGCAAGUCCCUGUGGGAAAGGAGGGUGUAUCCAAUGUCUGGAUGACAGCUGAUGGAUGUGGAGGCACCAAGGAGUUCCCAGGAAGGAGAAAGGUCCAGAAAAGGAAUACUGCUCCUGUUACUAGCACUAGUGACCACAAGAUUACACAUCUCUCAACUGAUUGAUGAGCUUCCGGGGGAAGGAGUAUAAGCCACUUGGAUGGGACAAAGGACCGCUCAUCCUGCCUCCUCAGGGCCUCAGAAUUCAGGAAAAGGAGGAACUGACAGCAUUUGAGACCGGAGAGGCCGAGGCACUGAGUGCUAGGUGGCACAAGGGGCAAGACUAGAAUUCAAGGCCUCUGAUGCCCAAGACUUCCCAACAUUGUCUUCUCCCGCGUUCCCUCCAGGACCACCGCCUCCUUCUGGGCGGGGUCUUGGGCUGCUGUCUGCGCUGAGUGUCCAGCUCUCUCCUUGGGUCGCACUCACGAUCUUCCCGCAGAGACGGCCACACUGCGAUCUUGCAUGCAGCCAGCAGGGGUCAGCAUUGCCCGCACCAAGGGUCGUCCAGCUGCGGCGGGCGAGAGCCUGAGCUCAGCGACGUUUCUCUGGCCACUUCUGGCUGAGUGUGGUGCUGCUUCUCGAUCUUGGCCACACAGUCGUUUCUG
rnacentral:lncRNA from 1 species